rnacentral:rRNA from 1 species
AAUAGAUACCCGGGUAGUCCACGCCGUAAACGAUGAGUGCUAAGUGGUUAGGGGGGUUCCACCCCUUAGUGCUGCAGCUAACGCAUUAAGCACUCCGCCUGGGGAGUACGGUCGCAAGACUGAAACUCAAAGGAAUUGACGGGGGCCCGCACAAGCGGUGGAGCAUGUGGUUUAAUUCGAAGCAACGCGAAGAACCUUACCAGGUCUUGACAUCCCGCUGACCGCCAUGGAGACAUGGCCUUCCCUUCGGGGACAGCGGUGACAGGUGGUGCAUGGUUGUCGUCAGCUCGUGUCGUGAGAUGUUGGGUUAAGUCCCGCAACGAGCGCAACCCUUGUCCUUAGUUGCCAUCAUUCAGUUGGGCACUCUAAGGAGACUGCCGUACAAAUACGGAGGAAGGUGGGGAUGACGUCAAAUCAUCAUGCCCCUUAUGACCUGGGCUACACACGUGCUACAAUGGGUGGUACAAAGGGCGGCGAACCCGCGAGGGGGAGCGGAAUCCCAAAAAGCCACUCUCAGUUCGGAUUGCAGG